CUCAGAACUUAAAGGAAUUGACGGGACCCGGCACAAGCGGUGGAGCAUGUGGUUUAAUUCGACGAUACGCGAAGAACCUUACCUGGCCUUGACAUACUAAAAAGCUUUAAGAGAUUAGAGUGUGCUAGCUUGCUAGAAUUUAGAUACAGGUGCUGCACGGCUGUCGUCAGCUCGUGUCGUGAGAUGUUGGGUUAAGUCCCGCAACGAGCGCAACCCUCGUGUUUAGUUGCUAACAGUUCGGCUGAGAACUCUAAACAGACUGCCUACGCAAGUAGGAGGAAGGUGAGGACGACGUCAAGUCAUCAUGGCCCUUACGGCCAGGGCUACACACGUGCUACAAUGGGGUAUACAAAGAGCAGCGAUACGGUGACGUGGAGCAAAUCUAGAAAAUGCCUCUCAGUUCGGAUUGUAGUCUGCAACUCGACUACAUGAAGUUGGAAUCGCUAGUAAUCGUAGAUCAGCAAUGCUACGGUGAAUACGUUCCCGGGUCUU
rnacentral:rRNA from 1 species